AUUUAUUUAGUAUAAUAAGUACAUUUGAUUUCCAAUUAAAAAGUUUAAAUACUUAAAAUAAAUA
rnacentral:tRNA from 1 species